rnacentral:rRNA from 1 species
UGGGGAAUAUUGCACAAUGGGCGCAAGCCUGAUGCAGCCAUGCCGCGUGUGUGAAGAAGGCCUUCGGGUUGUAAAGCACUUUCAGCGGGGAGGAAGGCGAUAAGGUUAAUAACCUUGUCGAUUGAUGUUACCCGCAGAAGAAGCACCGGCUAACUCCGUGCCAGCAGCCGCGGUAAUACGGAGGGUGCAAGCGUUAAUCGGAAUUACUGGGCGUAAAGCGCACGCAGGCGGUUUGUUAAGUCAGAUGUGAAAUCCCCGGGCUCAACCUGGGAACUGCAUCUGAUACUGGCAAGCUUGAGUCUCGUAGAGGGGGGUAGCAUUCCAGGUGUAGCGGUGAAAUGCGUAGAGAUCUGGAGGAAUACCGGUGGCGAAGGCGGCCCCCUGGACGAAGACUGACGCUCAGGUGCGAAAGCGUGGGGAGCAAACAGG